rnacentral:rRNA from 1 species
GACGAACGCUGGCGGCGUGCUUAACACAUGCAAGUCGAACGGAAAGGCCCUGCUUGCGGGGUACUCGAGUGGCGAACGGGUGAGUGACACGUGGGUGUACUGCCCUGCACUUCGGGAUAAGCCUGGAAAACUGGGUCUAAUACCGGAUAGGGGCGAUUUUUCGGGUGGUGGUUGGAAAGUAUUUUCGGUGUAGGAUGGGCUCGCGGCCUAUCAGCUUGUUGGUGGGGUAAUGGCCUACCAAGGCGGCGGCGGGUAGCCGGCCUGGGAGGGUGGACGGCCACAUUGGGGCUGAGGUAAGGCCCAGACUCCUACGGGAGGCAACAGGGGGGAAUAAUGGACAAUGGGCGCAAGCCUGAUGCAGCGACGCCGCGGGGGGGAUGACGGGCUUCGGGUUGUAAAAUCCCUUCGCUAGGGACGAAGCUUUUUGUGACGGUACCUAGUGAAGAAGCACCGGCUAACUACGUG